AUGAACGCUAGCUACAGGCUUAACACAUGCAAGUCGAGGGGCAGCAUCAUCAAAGCUUGCUUUGAUGGAUGGCGACCGGCGCACGGGUGAGUAACACGUAUCCAACCUGCCGACAACACUGGGAUAGCCUUUCGAAAGAAAGAUUAAUACCGGAUGGCAUAGUUUUCCCGCAUGGGAUAAUUAUUAAAGAAUUUAGGUUGUCGAUGGGGAUGCGUUCCAUUAGGCAGUUGGCGGGGUAACGGCCCACCAAACCUACGAUGGAUAGGGGUUCUGAGAGGAAGGUCCCCCACAUUGGAACUGAGACACGGUCCAAACUCCUACGGGAGGCAGCAGUGAGGAAUAUUGGUCAAUGGACGAGAGUCUGAACCAGCCAAGUAGCGUGAAGGAUGACUGCCCUAUGGGUUGUAAACUUCUUUUAUACGGGAAUAAAGUGAGCCACGUGUGGCUUUUUGUAUGUACCGUAUGAAUAAGGAUCGGCUAACUCCGUGCCAGCAGCCGCGGUAAUACGGAGGAUCCGAGCGUUAUCCGGAUUUAUUGGGUUUAAAGGGAGCGUAGGCGGGUUGUUAAGUCAGUUGUGAAAGUUUGCGGCUCAACCGUAAAAUUGCAGUUGAUACUGGCGACCUUGAGUGCAACAGAGGUAGGCGGAAUUCGUGGUGUAGCGGUGAAAUGCUUAGAUAUCACGAAGAACUCCGAUUGCGAAGGCAGCUUACUGGAUUGUAACUGACGCUGAUGCUCGAAAGUGUGGGUAUCAAACAGGAUUAGAUACCCUGGUAGUCCACACAGUAAACGAUGAAUACUCGCUGUUGGCGAUAUACAGUCAGCGGCCAAGCGAAAGCAUUAAGUAUUCCACCUGGGGAGUACGCCGGCAACGGUGAAACUCAAAGGAAUUGACGGGGGCCCGCACAAGCGGAGGAACAUGUGGUUUAAUUCGAUGAUACGCGAGGAACCUUACCCGGGCUUAAAUUGCAACUGACGGAACCGGAAACGGUUCUUUCUUCGGACAGUUGUGAAGGUGCUGCAUGGUUGUCGUCAGCUCGUGCCGUGAGGUGUCGGCUUAAGUGCCAUAACGAGCGCAACCCUUACGGGUAGUUACCAUCAGGUUAUGCUGGGGACUCUACCCGGACUGCCGUCGUAAGAUGUGAGGAAGGUGGGGAUGACGUCAAAUCAGCACGGCCCUUACGUCCGGGGCUACACACGUGUUACAAUGGGGGGUACAGAAGGCAGCUACACGGCGACGUGGUGCUAAUCCCAAAAGCCUCUCUCAGUUCGGAUUGGAGUCUGCAACCCGACUCCAUGAAGCUGGAUUCGCUAGUAAUCGCGCAUCAGCCACGGCGCGGUGAAUACGUUCCCGGGCCUUGUACACACCGCCCGUCAAGCCAUGAAAGCCGGGGGUACCUGAAGUACGUAACCGCGAGGAGCGUCCUAGGGUAAAACUGGUGAUUGGGGCU
rnacentral:rRNA from 1 species